CAUUGAGAAAGGCAAACUUGUGGAAACAUAAGGACGCAAAGCUAUAGGAGCCUAAGGUCAAGUCUAGACUCGGCUAGCCAGUUACCGUA
rnacentral:ncRNA from 1 species